UGACGGUACUGAGGAAUAAGCCACGGCUAAUUCCGUGCCAGCAGCCGCGGUAAUACGGGAGAGGCAAGCGUUAUCGGAAUCUAUCGGGCGUAAAGCGUCCGCAGGUGGCCUUGUAAGUCUGUCGUUAAAGCGUGGAGCUUAACUCCAUAUCGGCGAUGGAAACUACAAGGCUAGAGUGUGGUAGGGGCAGAGGGAAUUCCCGGUGUAGCGGUGAAAUGCGUAGAUAUCGGGAAGAACACCAGUGGC
rnacentral:rRNA from 1 species